rnacentral:pre_miRNA from 1 species
CAGGAGGCUCGCUUGAGCCCAGGAGUUUGAGACCAGCCUGGGCAACAAAGUGAGACCUCAU